rnacentral:rRNA from 1 species
UACGUAGGGUGCAAGCGUUGUCCGGAAUUAUUGGGCGUAAAGAGCUCGUAGGCGGUCUGUCGCGUCGGAUGUGAAAAUCCAGGGCUCAACCCUGGACCUGCAUUCGAUACGGGCAGACUAGAGUUCGGUAGGGGAGACUGGAAUUCCUGGUGUAGCGGUGAAAUGCGCAGAUAUCAGGAGGAACACCGGUGGCGAAGGCGGGUCUCUGGGCCGAAACUGACGCUGAGGCGCGAAAGCGUGGGGAGCAAACAGG